AUGGUUAAAAGGGGUUUUGUUACAGUUACAGUUAGUCACAUGUUUGAUAGAAUCUGCUGGAGGUUAGAGCCGGUUAUAGGUGAAAUUCUGUUUAGUCUUCCAUUUAGAAAUUUGGUUGAAAGUUGGUUGGCUAUUUUGGAUCUAUUAGUUAUAGGUUGUUUGAAAUUUUGUUAUGCUGGAUUAGUUUUGUGGUUUAUAUGA